CAGGGAGACAACAAAAUGUUUAAUAUUAUUAUUUUGUCACCUUAGGUCGAUCGGUAUCUCACGUUCUUAAUUAAUUAAGGAUUUCAUUUCCUAAGUUUUUCUAGGUCACACCCAUCAUUUUUCCUGGGCCAUUAGCUCAGGUGGUUAGAGCGCACCCCUGAUAAGGGUGAGGUCCCUGGUUCAAGUCCAGGAUGGCCCAUAUCUCUAUGUUGGGGGUAUAGCUCAGUUGGUAGAGCGCCUGCUUUGCAAGCAGGAUGUCAGCGGUUCGAGUCCGCUUACCUCCACUGAUUACCACCUCUUCCAUAAUAUUGGAUAAAGGAAAUUUUUUGAGUUGUGAUCAAAUUCUGAACGAAUCUAGCUUCCUAAUAUGAGUAUUAAGAUGCUGGAUUCAUUGAAUUACUUCAUUGUUUUCAGAGAACCUUGACAACUGCAUAGAUUAUUUUUAAAGACAAUAAGCAUCUUUGAUGAUGCAGAUUUAUUAUUUGUGCGAAUGCAUUAAUAACAAUUCUAUUAAGCUGAUGCUUCAAUUUUGAAGUUAUU
rnacentral:tRNA from 1 species